GAUUUUCUGCUGCUCGAUCUCUCUUACAAAACUGUUCUCCAGUGAAAUGACUUAGUCGCUUAAAUGCUCAAUUUUGGUUAUUUGGAUAAGCAGUAGACAUAUUCCUGAGUGCAGCAUUCCCAUUUAACUGCACUCAUGCCCUAGGCAGCUUACAAGGGCCAGCCCAGAGAGUUCAACUUGAAUCGAUCCUAUUUAUCUUUGUUGCCACAUCACUGUCAGAGUGUCACAAGGUCAGAUUUAAUUCUGAGAGAAGAAAUUAGAAAUAUGGACUCAUUAAAUAAGGAUCAUAUGAUAGAGUCCUCUUCAUUUACUUGCACAAGAGUGUGAAUGAGGGGGAAAUAGGGGCAUUGUGUGAUCCAGGAAGUUAUGCUUUAGGGUGAGUUUGUGGUGGUUGUAAUAAAACCUAAACAUUGGUUAAAGACUAGAAAACCUUUAAACCAGUGAAAUUGUGAUGGUUUGGGGCCUUUUACCAUUAGGAUUCUCAAAUAUCUGGAUAUAUGCUCUAUACAGACACAAUAAAACUUAAUCACUCAUUUAAUAAAGACUUAAUGAGCAUCUACUGUGUGAUAUUUAUACCUCUGCUAUAAACACAGAAGUGAUCAAAACAGACCAAGGCCCUCUUAUUAUCUAGUAGGAGGAGGCAGAAGCCCACUAACUCAUAAGCAAGUAAUUAAUGAAUGGACAAGGCAAAGGGCACACUGGGACUUAGCAUCUGGGACCCACGGCCAGCUCCAAGUUGCCAAAAGCCAAAAUUUAUCAAAUUGUAAAUUAAAACGCUUUCCAAUUCACAUGCAAACGUAAAAUCCUAUUUCAAAAAUUUCAGCAUCAUUAGAAAAAUCAGACACUGUGUAUUCUCUAAAAUUUAUUUACAGUUAAUAAGUUAAAAAGUACAAUCAGAUUGUAAAUCUUAUAUGCACAUCAAACUCCAAGGAAACAAUUCGGUUCCAUUACAAACAAUAGCCUUCUAAUGCACUCAAGACAGAACAGCCUACGAAAAAGUAUUUUAAAC
rnacentral:lncRNA from 1 species